rnacentral:rRNA from 1 species
AAAAUCAAAAACGAAUUUGACUCCUGCCUCGGUGCAUUGCAUCGUGUCAGCGAGUGUAUUCGAUAAGUCAUAACGACUCUCGGCAACGGAUAUCUCGGCUCUCGCAUCGAUGAAGAACGUAGCAAAAUGCGAUACGUGGUGUGAAUUGCAGGAUCCCGUGAACCAUCGAGUUUUUGAACGCAAGUUGCGCCCGAAGCCUUUAGGCCGAGGGCACGUCUGCCUGGGCGUCACGCA